rnacentral:lncRNA from 1 species
UUCAGUGUUCAAUGCAAUUGUUAUGAUAUACGGACCGGUUUCAUUUAUUUGGAAUUUGUGUUACUUACAGAUUGGCCCAAUCUAGCGUUUUCCUCCUAUGACCUUCCUUAUCAAGUUAUCUCCCUGUUAGUAGCACAAGAGGCAUGCAUGUUAGCCACUGUACAUUACAUAUUGCGAGGUAUUGACAUAAGUUGGCAUAAUGCAGCAUCAACGGGCACUGAAACCUUUAUCUGAAGUUUCCUAUGAUGGGAAUCUAAUGCUUGAUUUUAGAGGGCCAACAUCAAAUUAAUAGCCUAUUGUAAAAAUUUUCUGAAUCCUCUGGCAGAGUCUUCCCAAUUUAGAGAUAUGCUGAUUUUCAGUGAUCAACCCGUUUUGAUGGGAAGAGGUCUUGGCGGUGAUGAUGAGUAUACUUUUGUUAUAUUUUCUCUUUAUUUUUUUUAUUGGUCAGGAUCAUUGAGUGAUGUCUUGUUAGCAAGAUGUAAUAAUUGGUUUUCCCUAUGCACUUUUUACAAGUAAAUAAUUUUCAUUCUGCUAAUGUGAAGCAUAUUUGGUGAUCUGGUUUAUAUGAAAGUUAAAUUUGAUUUUUGAUUUGAUGUGAGAAAGAGUAGUGGAAAGUGAGAGGAUAAGGUUUUGAUGGAG